GACUGGAUAGCCUAGUGGUCAAAGGCAGCGCAUCUAGCAUAUGCUGAGGUCCCAGGUUCAAAUCCUGGUCUAGUAA
rnacentral:tRNA from 1 species